GUUUGGACAACAGCGUCCUCAUUGAGCAAAUGAACCCCAAUCAACAUCGGCCUCUACUGGGCAACGUGGGUUAUUGAUCAGGGAUAUCCAAGAAUCGUCCAAUAAGAGCCUGGAUUGCGGGUCAUGUGACCUGGCAGACGCGUGAAGGAAGGCUUGAACGGCAACAACAAAUAUGGAGGCGUCUCCUGUCAGCUUCGCACCGGAGAGGUACUGGACGGAGGAAAAAGAAAGGGCGCUCAUAGCUUAUUUCGCUAAUCACAGUUGUUUGUGGAAUCACAAGUCAGAGAGCUACAAAAACCGACAGCUGCGAUGGAAAACUCUGGAAAGCCUGAGGAUCCUCCUGUCUGCUCACUCUCCCCCUGUUAGUUUCACAGUGGAAGACAUCAAGAACAAGUUCAAGAACCUUCGCACAACCUUUCAGCGUCAGUACAAAAUGGUAAAGGCCAGCAAGGUGUGCAGGACCGAGGACGUGUUUGUGCCACAGUGGAAGCACUACCAGCAGCUGAUGUUCCUGCAGGGCUGCUGGGAUCAAGAGGACAGUGCAGAUGACCCCCCUCUGUCACCGCUGAUUCUUCCACAGGAGGAGAACCAGCCUGUGAACACCUCUGGAUCAAUCAUUACCUUCCUCCCCACCCCAGCCACCACCUCCCCGCCCUCCUCUACCUCCUGUGUCCCCUCCAACAUGAUGAUAAAAUGUUACUGGACUGAAGAAAGAGAGCGUGCACUAAUAGCGUUCUACUCUGAGCAUAGCUGUCUGUGGAACAAGAGGUCUGAGAACCACAAUAACCGGCAACUCAGACUGAGGCUGCUGGAGGCUCUGAGGAGUCAGCUGUCUGACCACUCUGUGUCUUUCUCAGUUGAAGACGUCAAAUGCAAGUUCAAGAACCUUCGAACAGUUUUCAACCGUGAAUACAAGGCGGUCCAGACGAGCAGGGUGUCUGACAAACUCUAUGUGUCCAAAUGGAAACACUACCAACAAAUGCUCUUCCUCUGUGAGUCCUGUGAUGAAGACGACAGCACAGACGACUUGAUGCCACAGGAAGACAAGGAUCUGGAGCAUGGAAACCAAACACCCUCCUCCACCCUGAGCAGUUUCUCCUCUAGCUCCAACCAAACCAGCAGCAUCAAGUUCAAUCACCCCACUGCUUCGUCCAACGAUGGCAAAACCACCACCAGUGCUGCCUACCAAAUAUUCCUUGCUGCGUCUCCAGAUCUUCUUAAGCUUGCGAGCCAAACAGCUGCUCCUACUCUAACCACCUCUCCUUACACUGCACAACUGGACACCAAGCCUUGCGCAAACCCCUCCCAUCUAAAUGUUUCUACGUCAGGUUCAGUUCAGCCAGACAGCAGACAGAGUGCAGACUCCCGCUGCCACUGGAGCGAGGCCAAAGUUCAGCAGCUGAUAUCCUUUUACUCUGAGCACAGCUGUCUGUGGAACCACAAAUCCGAGAGCUACAGGAACAGGCUGUUGAGACAGACUCUGUUGGAGACACUAAGCAGCAUUCUGUCUGAUAAUGAGCCAGUCCCAUUUUCAGUGGAAGACAUAAAGACAAAGUUCAGAAACUUGCGCACCAUCUUCCAACGUGAACACAAAGCGGUCAGUUCAAACAAAACAUGUGGCUCAGAGGAUUUUUACCUCCCAAAGUGGAAACAUUACCGUGAGCUGAUGUUCCUCUGCGACUCUUGCGAUGAGGAUGAGCAACCUGAUGACCUGCACUUCCAGGAACCACAGGAGUCCUGCCUCCUCCGCUUGGACUGCCAGCCCCCUCCCUCAUCCUUACAUUACCAUGGUGGUCCCCAAUCUGCUACUAAACUGAACAUCACAUCACUGGGUCUGGGAGCCCCUCCCUCGCCUACUCCUCCAGACUCCCAGCACUCUUCUCCCUCCUCCUGCCCCUCCACAUCCUCCUCUCACACUGACAGCAGAGGGUCAGGACGCAAGCGAGCGGGUCGGCGCCUGCUACCCACCACCAUGGAGGUGCUGGACUUCAUGAGGACAAUCUGUCAGAGCCAGAUGGUGUCACCACAUGCAGGGUUCCUCAAGUAUGUGGAGGAAUGUCUGAACGAGACACCACCCGACAAAGUGAAGAAACUGAAGAAGGAGAUAAUUGAGACGAUCCAUAGCAUAUCGGAGGAGAAUUAG
rnacentral:lncRNA from 1 species